rnacentral:rRNA from 1 species
UCUGGUGACUAUAGCAAGGAGGUCACACCUGUUCCCAUGCCGAACACAGAAGUUAAGCUCCUUAGCGUCGAUGGUAGUCGAACUU